GCGACGCCGCGUGAGGGAUGGAGGCCUUCGGGUUGUAAACCUCUUUCGCCAGUGAAGCAGGCCUGUCCCUUUUGUGGGUGGGUUGACGGUAGCUGGAUAAGAAGCGCCGGCUAACUACGUGCCAGCAGCCGCGGUAAUACGUGGGGCGCGAGCGUUGUCCGGAAUUAUUGGGCGUAAAGAGCUCGUAGGCGGCUGGUCGCGUCUGUCGUGAAAUCCUCUGGCUUAACUGGGGGCUUGCGGUGGGUACGGGCCGGCUUGAGUGCGGUAGGGGAGACUGGAACUCCUGGUGUAGCGGUGGAAUGCGCAGAUAUCAGGAAGAACACCGGUGGCGAAGGCGGGUCUCUGGGCCGUUACUGACGCUGAGGAGCGAAAGCGUGGGGAGCGAACAGGAUUAGAUACCCUGGUAGUCCACGCCGUAAACGUUGGGCACUAGGUGCGGGGGCCUUU
rnacentral:rRNA from 1 species